rnacentral:rRNA from 1 species
GGCUUGUUGAGUAUAAUUUCAAGUCUGRCCUGCCCACUGAGGUUUUAAAUGGCCGCGGUAAGUUGACCGUGCAAAGGUAGCAUAAUCAUUAGUUUUUUAAUUAGAAGCUUGUAUGAAAGGUUUGAUGARAARAUAGCUGUCUCUACAAWAUUUAUUUAAAAUUUUAUUUUUAAGUUAAAAAGCUUAAAUUUAUAUAGAAGACGAGAAGACCCUAUAGAGUUUAAUAUUUAUAUAGUUAGAURAUCUAGUUAUAUAAGUGUUUUGUUGGGGUGAUAAAAAAAUUUAUAAAACUUUUUUUGAGUUUUAAACAUUGAUAUAUGARUAUAUGAUCCUAUUAUUAGAUAAAAAGAUAAAACUACCUUAGGGAUAACAGCGUAAUUUUUUUAAGAGUUCUUAUCGUAAAAAAAGAUUGCGACCUCGAUGUUGGAUUAAAAUUUACUAUUGGUGUAGAAGCUAGGUAGUUAGGUCUGUUCGACCUUUAAAAUUUUACAUGAUCUGAGUUUAAACCGGUGUAAG